rnacentral:rRNA from 1 species
UACGUAGGAGACGAGCGUUGUCCGGAGUUACUGGGCGUAAAGGGUGCGCAGGCGGCCUUGCGCGUCGCGAGUGAAAUCUCCCGGCUCAACUGGGAGGGUGGUCGCGAGACGGCAGGGCUUGAGGCUCGGUGAGGGGCGUGGAAUUCCGGGUGGAGCGGUGAAAUGCGUAGAGAUCGGAAAGAACACCAACGGCGAAAGCACUCUGCUGGGCCGACACUGACACUGAGAGACGAAUGCUAGGGGAGCGAAUGGG